UACGUAGGGGGCAAGCGUUGUCCGGAAUCAUUGGGCGUAAAGCGCGCGUAGGCGGCCCGGUAAGUCCGCUGUAAAAGUCAGAGGCUCAACCUUUGAAUGUCAGUGGAUACUGCCGGGCUAGAGUCCGGAAGAGGCGAGUGGAAUUCCUGGUGUAGCGGUGAAAUGCGUAGAUAUCAGGAGGAACACCUGCGGUGUAGACGGCUUUCUGGACCAUUGCUGACGCUGAGACACGAAAGCGUGGGUAGCAAACAGG
rnacentral:rRNA from 1 species